rnacentral:rRNA from 1 species
GUGAGUAGUUCAGAGUUUGUAUCCUGGCUCAGGAUGAACGCUGGCGGCGUGCAUAACACAUUCAAGUCGAACGGAGUUGAGAGAUUUAAUCCUUCGGGAAGCGAUCGAUCAACUUAGUGGCGGACGGGUGAGUAACGCGUGAGCAACCUGCCUCUGCUUGGGGGAUAACGUUUGGAAACGGACGCUAAUACCUCAUAACACACAGACAUCGCAUGAUGAUUGUGUCAAAGAUUUAUUGAGCAGAGAUGGGCUCGCGUCUGAUUAGGUAGUUGGUGAGGUAACGGCCCACCAAGCCGACGAUCAGUAGCCGGACUGAGAGGUUGAACGGCCACAUUGGAACUGAGAUACGGUCCAG